rnacentral:rRNA from 1 species
AACGAACGCUGGCGGCAUGUCUAACACAUGCAAGUCGAACGAGACCUUCGGGUCUAGUGGCGUACGGGUGCGUAACGCGUGGGAACCUGCCCUUAGGUUCGGAAUAACCCUCCGAAAGGGGUGCUAACACCGGAUAAUGUCCUCGGACCAAAGAUUUAUCGCCUUUGGAUGGGCCCGCGUUGGAUUAGCUAGUUGGUAGGGUAAAAGCCUACCAAGGCGACGAUCCAUAGCUGGUCUGAGCGGAUGAUCAGCCACACUGGGACUGCGACACGGCCCAGACUCCUACCGGAGGCAACAGUGGGGAAUAUUGGACAAUGGGCGAAGGCCUGAUCCAGCAAUGGCGCGGGGGUGAUGAAGGCCUUAGGGUUGUAAAGCUCUUUUGCCCGGGAUGAUAAUGACAGUACCGGGAGAAUAAGCUCCGGCUAACUCCGUG